AGCUUGCUGUUUCGCUGACGAGUGGCGGACGGGUGAGUAAUGUCUGGGAAACUGCCUGAUGGAGGGGGAUAACUACUGGAAACGGUAGCUAAUACCGCAUAACGUCGCAAGACCAAAGAGGGGGACCCUCGGGCCUCUUGCCAUCGGAUGUGCCCAGAUGGGAUUAGCUUGUUGGUGGGGUAACGGCUCACCAAGGCGACGAUCCCUAGCUGGUCUGAGAGGAUGACCAGCCACACUGGAACUGAGACACGGUCCAGACUCCUACGGGAGGCAGCAGUGGGGAAUAUUGCACAAUGGGCGCAAGCCUGAUGCAGCCAUGC
rnacentral:rRNA from 1 species